AUACUUACCUGGCAGGGGAGAGACUGUGAUCACCAAGGCUGCUCUCCCAGGACGAGGCUAUCCCAUUGCACUCUGGGAGUGCUGACGCCUGCGAUGUCCCCAAAUGCGGGAUGAUCGACUGCAUUUUUGUUGGUAGUGGGGGACUGCGUUCACGCUCUCCCCUG